GCCGUUCCGGUCACCGCGACGGUAGCCUGACGGGGUCAAAUCCAAAGCCGCGGGGCGCCCCUCAGAGGCGACGAAAACUAAGGCUUCUUCUUCUGCAUUGUACAGGAUCAGGAAGAAAGGAAGGGGAAAAUGUGAAGUGUUUCUCUAUUUAAUGAAUCAGCUGUGGCCAACUUGUUCAGAUGCGUCUGGACUUUCUUCCUUCCAGUGGGUUUGUGGUCUUGCUUGACUUUAGGAGUGAAGCCGCAGACCUUCG
rnacentral:lncRNA from 1 species